rnacentral:rRNA from 2 species
CUUUUACAAUGAAGAGUUUGAUCCUGGCUCAGGAUGAACGCUAGCUACAGGCUUAACACAUGCAAGUCGAGGGGCAGC